rnacentral:rRNA from 1 species
UAGGGAAUCUUGCCACAAUGGACGCAAGUCUGAUGGAGCAACGCCGCGUGAGUGAAGAAAGGUUUUCGGACCGUAAAGCUCUGUUGUUGGUGAAGAAGGAUAGAGGUAGUAACUGGCCUUUAUUUGACGGUAAUCAACCAGAAAGUCACGGCUAACUACGUGCCAGCAGCCGCGGUAAUACGUAGGUGGCAAGCGUUGUCCGGAUUUAUUGGGCGUAAAGCGAGCGCAGGCGGAAGAAUAAGUCUGAUGUGAAAGCCCUCGGCUUAACCGAGGAAUUGCAUCGGAAACUG